GUGCUUCUCCUUCUCUCCUCUGGUGACCUUUACCCUCUGGCUCCACACGAGUCUGUGCCAAAAACUUGAGGGGCAUCUGUAUGCAGGACACAUCCACAGGGUGCCCACAGUGUGUGUGUGUGUGUGUGUGUGUGUGGAAAGAAGACACCCAGUGUAGGAAUAUUGUUGUGAAUGUGGCAGAUCUUGCACAAGAUUGCUGUACAAUGUGGAGACAGUUUUGUGGUUUUAGUGGGAGCAGGAGUUCUGAAUGUCUGGUCAGUCACACUCACGAAAAGCUGUGCAGCAUCUUUUUCUUUUUUUUCCUUAUGCUUUCUAACAUCACGGCCACGCGAAGCUGCACAGCCACAGAUAAAAGUUUACAUUUCGUGCGCAGAAAACGCAGCGAGCUUGGGGUUGAGUUGCAAACCGACUUGAAAUCAUGACAUGCUUGACAUUUAGCAACUUCUGGUGAAGUUGGUGGUGAACAAUCUUUAUUUUUUUUGUGUGUGUGUGGGGGGGGGGAUUUUUUGUCGUUUCUGACGUGUGUGUGUGUGUGUGUGGGGUUUUGUGGAAGUGAUGUGAGUUCCCAGUAGUGGAGGGACGGAGGGCGGUCAAACCGUAACAAUGCAUUCCGGUGGCGUUUUAAUGUAUUGAUCUAACCAGAGACGUGCGGUCGGGGGGAGGCAGGUCAGCCAAAGCCUUAUUAUUUAUUCCACCAUUAUUACUUCUUAUUUACUCAUUUAAGAAAUAUGUGAAGGGAAAAUAAGGAAUAAAUGACUUUGAUGGCCUUUAGAAGAGUUGCUGUCUCACCUGCCUCUAACUCUUUGUGUUAUGUCGUGAAAGGAUUUGCAGGUCAGAGAAGGUUUGUUUUUUUAACUUGGCGUCUGAAGGGUCUGAUGGGAGUGGAUACGUCAAGUUAGGCCACAUUCCCACAAUUCAUUUGGGCUGUUUUGUGUUGAUUUUUUGUCAUUUUUUUUUUUUCCCAGCUGCUAAAUUGUUUCAAAAAGAAAAGAUGGAGAGCUGGAGGAGCAGCUGUAAAUCUAACAGACUUUAAUGUGAGUAACAUGUUUCUCUGCCGGCGGGACGGUUCCCCCCUCGUUUCUGUUAUUUUGUGGAGUUUGUAGUUUUCUUGGAACGGUGGCAGGUGUGAGUCGGUCCAGUUCAUCCCGUUAGUCGAGGCGUGUUGCUCUUUAAAUAAAUGUGAUCAUGUAGACUUACAUCUGUUAGAUAUCGUGCACACAGUCGAUUUUCGGUUUGAGACGUGAUCCAGUUCUGUCCCAGUGACAAAAAAAAAAAAAAAAAAA